UGAGAGAACCCUGGUUAAGGAACUCGGCAAAUUGACACCGUAACUUCGGGAGAAGGUGUGCCGCUGGCGGUUAGUGACUUCGCGUCACGAAGCUGUUGGUGGUCGCAGUGAAAUGGCGGUUGUGACUGUUUACUAAAAACACAGGACUCUGCGAAGUCGUAAGACGACGUAUAGGGUCUGAUGCCUGCCCGGUGCUGGAAGGUUAAGGGGAUAUGUCAGCGCAAGCGAAGCAUUGAACCGAAGCCCCAGUAAACGGCGGCCGUAACUAUAACGGUCCUAAGGUAGCGAAAUUCCUUGUCGGGUAAGUUCCGACCUGCACGAGGGCAUAACAACAUCCGCACUGUCUCGACCAGGGACUCAGCGAAAUUACAUUGGGGGUGAAGAUGCCCUCUACCCGCGGAAAGACGGAAAGACCCCAUGAACCUUUACUGCAACUUGGCAGUGAUUUUCGGGUUGUUCUGCGUAGGAUAGGUGGGAGGCUUUGAAGCCGGGCUUCCGGGUUCGGCAGAGCCAACGUUGAAAUACCACCCUGAAUAAUCUGGAAAUCUAACCUGCGCCCAUGAUCUGGGCGAGGGACACUGCCUGGUGGGCAGUUUGACUGGGGCGGUCGCCUCCUAAAUUGUAACGGAGGCGUGCGACGGUUCCCUCAGGCUGAUUGGAAACCAGCCGUAGAGUGCAAACGCAUAAGGGAGCUUUACUGCGAGACUGACAAGUCGACCAGUUGCGAAAGCAGGUGUUAGUGAUCCGGUGGUACCACAUGGAAGGGCCAUCGCUCAUCGGAUAAAAGGUACUCUCUGGAUAACAGGCUGAUCGCGCCUGAGAGUUCACAUCGGCGGCGCGGUUUGGCACCUCGAUGUCGGCUCAUCGCAUCCUGGGGCUGGAGCAGGUCCCAAGGGUUUGGCUGUUCGCCAAUUAAAGCGGUACGCGAGCUGGGUUUAAAACGUCGUGAACAGUUUGGUCCCUAUCUUCCGUGGGCGCAGGACACUUGAGAGGAGCUAUCCAUAGUACGAGAGGACCUGGAUGGACGAACCUCUGGUGCUCCGGUUGUCACGCCAGUGGCAUAGCCGGGUAGCCAUGUUCGGAACAGAUAACCGCUGAAGGCAUAUAAGCGGGAAGCUGGCCUCAAGACUAGGUGUCCCUGACGCAAGUCACUAAAGGCCCCUCGAAGACUACGAGGUUGAUAGGCUCGGUGUGGAAGCACAGCGAUGUGCGGAGCUAACGAGUACUAAUAGGCCGUGCGGCUUGACCUC
rnacentral:rRNA from 1 species